GACGAACGCUGGCGGCGUGCCUAAUACAUGCAAGUCGAACGAACCGCGACUAGGUGCUUGCACUUGGUCAAGGUGAGUGGCGAACGGGUGAGUAACACGUGGGUAACCUACCUCAUAGUGGGGGAUAACAGUCGGAAACGACUGCUAAUACCGCAUAGGACAUAGGAUCACAUGAUUCUGUGAGGAAAGGUGGCGCAAGCUAUCGCUAAGAGAUGGACCCGCGGUGCAUUAGCUAGUUGGUAGGGUAAAGGCCUACCAAGGCGAUGAUGCAUAGCCGACCUGACAGGGUGAUCGGCGACAUUGGGACUGAGACACGGCCCAAAAUCCUACGGGAAGCAACAGUAGGGAAUCUUCCGCAAUGGACGCAAGUAUGACGGAGCAACGCCGCGUAAGUGAAGAAGGUCUUCGGAUCGUAAAGCUCUGUUGUUAGAGAAGAACAGCGCAUAGAGUAGAUGUUAUGCGUGUGACGGUAUCUAACCAGAAAGCCACGGCUAACUACGUG
rnacentral:rRNA from 1 species